rnacentral:rRNA from 1 species
AGAACGAACGCUGGCGGCGCGUCUUAAGCAUGCAAGCGGACGGCAAGGGUAGCAAUACCCCUAGAGUGGCGGACUGGUGAGUAACGCGUGGGUGACCUACCCUCGAGAUGGGGAUAGCCAUUAGAAAUAGUGGAUAAUACCGAAUACGCUCUGGAUGCUCUGGCGACCAGAGGAAAUCAGGCUACGGCCUGGCUCGAGGAUGGGCCCGCGUCCCAUUAGCUAGUUGGUGAGGUAACGGCCCACCAAGGCGACGAUGGGUAUCCGGCCUGAGAGGGUGUACGGACACAUUGGGACUGAGAUACGGCCCAAACUCCUACAGGAGGCAGCAGCUAAGAAUAUUCCGCAAUGGACGAAAGUCUGACGGAGCGACGCCGCGUGGAUGAAGAAGGCCGAAAGGUUGUAAAAUCCUUUUGCCGAUGAAGAAUAAGUGGUGUAGGGAAUGACAUCAUGAUGACAUUAGUCGGUGAAUAAGCCCCGGCUAACUACGUG